rnacentral:rRNA from 1 species
CAAUAGCGUAUAUUUAAGUUGCUGCAGUUAAAAAGCUCGUAGUUGGAUUUCGGGUGGGAAUGGCCGGUCCGCCGUUUCGUUGUGCACUUGCUACGCCCACCUUGCUGCCGGGGACGUGCUCUUGAGUUCACGCUCGGGACACGGAGUCGGCGAGGUUACUUUGAGUAAAUUAGAGUGUUCAAAGCAGGCCUACGCUCUGAAUACAUUAGCAUGGAAUAACACGAUAGGACUCUGGCCUAUCUUGUUGGUCUGUAGGACCGGAGUAAUGAUUAAGAGGGACAGUCGGGGGCAUUCGUAUUUCAUUGUCAGAGGUGAAAUUCUUGGAUUUAUGAAAGACGAACUACUGCGAAAGCAUUUGCCAAGGAUGUUUUCAUUAA